rnacentral:rRNA from 1 species
UACGUAGGGGGCUAGCGUUGUCCGGAUUUAUUGGGCGUAAAGAGCGUGUAGGCGGCCAGGUAGGUCUGCUGUGAAAACUCGAGGCUCAACCUCGAGACGUCGGCGGAAACCAUCUGGCUAGAGUCCGGAAGAGGAGAGUGGAAUUCCUGGUGUAGCGGUGAAAUGCGCAGAUAUCAGGAAGAACACCCGUGGCGAAGGCGGCUCUCUGGGACGGUAUUGACGCUGAGACGCGAAAGCGUGGGGAGCAAACAGG